rnacentral:rRNA from 1 species
CCUACGGGAGGCAGCAGUGAGGAAUAUUGGUCAAUGGACGAGAGUCUGAACCAGCCAAGUAGCGUGAAGGAUGACUGCCCUAUGGUUUGUAAACUUCUUUUAUAAAGGAAUAAAACGAGGCACGUGUGCCUUUUUGCAUGUACUUUAUGAAUAAGGAUCGGCUAACUCCGUGCCAGCAGCCGCGGUAAUACGGAGGAUCCGAGCGUUAUCCGGAUUUAUUGGGUUUAAAGGGAGCGUAGAUGGGUUGUUAAGUCAGUUGUGAAAGUUUGCGGCUCAACCGUAAAAUUGCAAUUGAUACUGGCAGUCGUGAGUACAGUUGAGGUAGGCGGAAUUCGUGGUGUAGCGGUGAAAUGCUUAGAUAUCACGAAGAACCCCGAUUGCGAAGGCAGCUUACUAAACUGUGACUGACAUUGAUGCUCGAAAGUGUGGGUAUCAAACAGGAUUAGAUACCCGGGUAGUC